rnacentral:rRNA from 1 species
GNGANUAAUGCCUAGGAAUCUGCCUAGUAGUGGGGGACAACGUUUCGAAAGGAACGCUAAUACCGCAUACGUCCUACGGGAGAAAGUGGGGGAUCUUCGGACCUCACGCUAUUAGAUGAGCCUAGGUCGGAUUAGCUAGUUGGUAGGGUAAAGGCCUACCAAGGCGACGAUCCGUAACUGGUCUGAGAGGAUGAUCAGUCACACUGGAACUGAGACACGGUCCAGACUCCUACGGGAGGCAGCAGUGGGGAAUAUUGGACAAUGGGCGAAAGCCUGAUCCAGCCAUGCCGCGUGUGUGAAGAAGGCCUUCGGGUCGUAAAGCACUUUAAGUUGGGAGGAAGGGCUCAUAGCGAAUACCUGUGAGUUUUGACGUUACCAACAGAAUAAGCACCGGCUAACUUCGUGCCAGCAGCCGCGGUAAUACGAAGGGUGCAAGCGUUAAUCGGAAUUACUGGGCGUAAAGCGCGCGUAGGUGGCUUGAUAAGUUGGAUGUGAAAUCCCCGGGCUCAACCUGGGAACUGCAUCCAAAACUG